AUUGAACGCUGGCGGCAGGCCUAACACAUGCAAGUCGAACGAGUGGCGGACGGGUGCGUAAUGUCUGGGAAACUGCCUGAUGGAGGGGGAUAACUACUGGAAACGGUAGCUAAUACCGCAUACCAUCGGAUGUGCCCAGAUGGGAUUAGCUAGUAGGUGGGGUAAAGGCUCACCUAGGCGACGACCCCUAGCUGGUCUGAGAGGAUGACAAGCCACACGGGAACUGAGGCACGGUCCGGACGCAUACGGUGGGCAGCAGUGGGGAAUAUUGCACAAUGGGCGCAAGCCGGAUGCAGCCAUGCCGCGUGGAUGAAGAAGGCCGUCGGGUUGUAAAGUACUUUCAGCGGGGAGUCGUUACCCGCAGAGGAAGCACCGACUAACUCCGUGCCAGCCGCCGCGGUAAUAC
rnacentral:rRNA from 1 species